rnacentral:rRNA from 1 species
UGGUACCUUCGGUAUCCGCGUUGUAACCUCGAGACACGUUUUCCGUGCGGCGCUAUGGACAAGUUUCCUUGGAACAGGACAUCGUAGAGGGUGAAAAUCCCGUACUUGCCAUGGAUGUACCGUGCUUUGCGAUACGUGCUCUAAGAGUCGAGUUGUUUGGGAUUGCAGCUCAAAAUGGGUGGUAGACUCCAUCUAAAGCUAAAUAUCGGGGAGAGACCGAUAGCGAACAAGUACCGUGAGGGAAAGAUGAAAAGCACUUUGGAAAGAGAGUUAAAAGUACGUGAAAUUGUCGAAAGGGAAGCGCUUGAAGUCAGCCAUGCCGCUCAGGACUCAGCCUGGCUUUUGCUUGGUGUAUUUCCUGGGUAGCAAGUCAGCAUUGGUUUGGAUCGUCGGAGAAGCAUAGUCGGAAUGUGGCGCCCUCGGGCGUGUUAUAGCCUUCUAUUGGAUACGACGAUCUAGACCAAGGAACGCAGCGCGCCUAUGGCGGUC